rnacentral:rRNA from 1 species
UACGUAGGGUGCGAGCGUUGUCCGGAAUUAUUGGGCGUAAAGAGCUCGUAGGCGGUUCGGCAAGUCAGCUGUGAAAUCUCCACGCUCAACGUGGAGGGGUCAGCUGAUACUGCUGUGACUUGAGUCCGGUAGGGGGAGUGUGGAAUUCCCGGUGUAGCGGUGAAAUGCGCAGAUAUCGGGAGGAACACCAGUAGCGAAGGCGGCACUCUGGGCCGGUACUGACGCUGAGGAGCGAAAGCGUGGGGAGCAAACAGG